UCCAGACUCCUACGGGAGGCAGCAGUGGGGAAUAUUGCACAAUGGGGGAAACCCUGAUGCAGCAACGCCGCGUGGGUGAAGGAGCGUUUCGGCGCGUAAAGCCCUGUCAGCGGGGAAGAAGAAAGACGGUACCCGACCAAGAAGCCCCGGCUAAAUACGAGCCAGCAGCCGCGGUAAUACGUAUGGGGCAAGCGUUAUCCGGAUUUACUGGGUGUAAAGGGAGCGCAGGCGGCUUGGCAAGUCUGAUGUGAAAGGCUGGGGCUCAACCCCAGGACUGCAUUGGAAACUGUUAGGCUGGAGUGUCGGAGAGGUAAGCGGAAUUCCUAGUGUAGCGGUGAAAUGCGUAGAUAUUAGGAGGAACACCAGUGGCGAAGGCGGCUUACUGGACGACAACUGACGCUGAGGCUCGAAAGCGUGGGGAGCAAACAGGAUUAGAUACCCCAGUAGAA
rnacentral:rRNA from 1 species